GUGGUGGUUAUCGUAGGCGAUUGAUUUUGGAAACGUUUCAACUUCAACUCGUAACAGGAACUUGUAAUGUUGCUUUUGGGUAUAGAUGCGAUAAAUACGAUAAGAUUGGUGUUUGGAUCGAUGGAACAGGUAAUCCCUAAGCUUAGAUGGUUUGGAGCUGCGAGAGACUCGGAGAUGGCCACAC